UCUGCUGUGUUUGUGCUCCAGGUGCCAGGAGAGAGCGUUUACUGUCUGAGCGUGACUUUUAGAAGGUUGUGGAAAUGCCAUCCGAGAUGUGAUUAGAUUUUGUUAACCGCACGGGCGUGAAGAAAAGUUGCCUAAAAAAAGAACAAACAAGGGGGAGGAAGUCAAUCUGAGGGGGCAUGGAAACCAAACACAGGAGCCAGGGGCAGGAUGAAGCAGAGGCAAGCAGCAACAGUGGAUUACCGUCUGCUAGAGUUUCGGAGAGUUUAAAUCAGGGUCCAGGCGACCUGCUGCUGUCAGUCACUGGCACUCGGGGGGGAAAGCCCACGCUGGAAGAAAUACCACGGACGCCAAAGAAUAGAAGGUGAUAAGAGGAGCAUUGGUUUUAGGCACUAUGAGCAAAACAGGCUGUUGGUUUAAGAAAUAAAAUGAAGACUUUGACAAUCAGUGAUCUGGCAGUGCAUUUAGAGAGGUGGACACAUACUCUGCAACCUGAAGUUUUGCCAUGUUAGAUGUUAUCGAGCGUUUGCAUCAGGGUGGGAAUGUCAUGAGGAUACAUUUAAAGGAUUGUACAACAUGAAGUCAUAAUUUAAUCACGGACCCGAUGAGCCGUGUAAAGCAGCUGUCACAACGGUGGUUACAGCAGGCCGCAAGCUCCGGGGCCGGUUCAGCCGAUGUUUCCUGCCCAGUCAUCGGUGCAUUGUGUAGGUUUUAUUAAUAAAAGUACACGAGGUUCUAGAAAGGACAGCCAAACCAGAGUGAGACUGGUGGAUGUCAAAGGGAGCAGGAUAGACUGAAUGUCCUGAAGGAACGUUGAUAAUAGAGGAAAUCAGGACUGCUUUUGCUGCAAGAUACCUGCUACCAGUUAAACCAACAAAAAAAUGGAAGCAUUAAAGGUUUAACAGAUCCUCAGUCUGAUUGGAGGAAUGAUAUCUGUCCAGUGCACAGAUCAGAGCAGGUGUUUGGUCUAGUUGAUCUGAAAAAGAGUAAUAAAUAAAAGAGUCAUAACUGGGAAAACAAUGCCAGAAAUGUAAAACAACCCCGAGAGUAACCUUGGUCAUGAUAACUGUGCCAAACUGGUAAUUUAAUGACGAGGACAGGACAUCUGGUGUUCUGUGUGGAGCCUCAGUGCCCGAGUGUCGUCGUUUAAGAACCCCGGUGUGCAAAUUAACUUCACAUUUAACCCGGCGCAUUCUGAAGCUGCGGAAAGUCGACACCACACAUCAUUAGAUGCAGAUAGAUGUGGCAAGAGAUUGACUUGCAGGUCUCUGGUUUGCACGUUCGAGAAAGUGCAAGUGAAGGUGCAAUUCCUUUGUGGUGCCGCCGAGUCUGGUCUGGAGUCAUUAACUGAUUUGUGUAUGUGACACCAGGACAGGGGAUUUCACUGAAGUUUACGAAAAAUUAGUUCUCAAAUGUUCAGACAACUAAGGGAGAAACAUCACAACCACCUGGAUGAAAGAACAAAUGAGCUAAAGGCAGUUUUUUUUUUUUUUUAAUCCCCCAGAUUUGGGAGUUUUUUGGGUUAUGGGAGGCAAUUACAUAAUACAAACUAUACAUGGUAGAGGUGUGGGUUACAGUAUUUUGGGCACAUAUUCUACAGAUAGAAAUAUUUAAAUUUGAUUCAUUUUAGGGCAACAAAUGAGUAUAUGAAGAAAAAAAAGUCCAGAUUUAUUCACCAAAUAUGCUGUGUUGUGAUGGUUUGUGUGUUUCAGUGUGUGGAGAAGGCCUUGAAACAGCAUUUAACCUUCAUGCAGAGAAUUUGAAUUUACAGAAAAUAUAAUUUAACUGCUAAACAUAAAAGCAAGAUUUACAGACUUCUCUAGCUGUCUAUUUCUAAGCUGGUAAAAAAAACUUUACGAGGGGAAAACGACUUCGAUCAAAGCAAGGGGAGAAUGUAAAAGGAUGGAAUUAAGAAAAUGUGUUUCAGUUUCCAGGUUUUAUUUCAACGACAUUGAGGUAGAGGCCUCGUUUAUCAUAAAGCUGAGUAAAGACACAAAUACAGUCGUGGACUUUUAGAGGAGUUUCAGCUCCAUAUACUGAGAAAAUCAGAAAUAACAACUUUAUUGGUCAAGUUUGUACAUGCAAGCAUGGAUUUUGACCCCGGUGAAUCUUAGCUCUGUGUGUGAGGGGAAAAAAAGAAAUAAA